GAUUCGCCCUUUACGGGUUGUGAGAGCAAGAGCCCGGAGAUGGAUUCUGAGACAAGAAUCCAGGCCCUACGGGGCGCAGCAGGCGCGAAACCUUUACACUGCACGAAAGUGCGAUAAGGGGACCCCGAGUGCGAGGGCAUACAGUCCUCGCUUUUGUGUACCGUAAGGUGGUACACGAAUAAGAGCUGGGCAAGACCGGUGCCAGCCGCCGCGGUAAUACCGGCAGCUCGAGUGAUGACCGCUAUUAUUGGGCCUAAAGCGUCCGUAGCCGGCCGAACGGGUCCGUUGGGAAAUCUGCUCGCUUAACGAGCAGGCGUCCAGCGGAAACCAGUCGGCUUGGGGCCGGAAGACCAGAGGGGUACGUCUGGGGUAGGAGUGAAAUCCUGUAAUCCUGGACGGACCGCCGGUGGCGAAAGCGCCUCUGGAGGACGGACCCGACUGCUAUCAGAAUAGGACUAAGCCAUGCGAGUCAACGUAGCAAUACGUGGCAUACGGCUCAGUAACACGUAGUCAACAUGCCCAGGGGACGUGGAUAACCUCGGGAAACUGAGGAUAAACCGCGAUAGGCCAUAAUGUCUGGAAUGAUUUAUGGCUCAAAUCUACAUGGCCCCUGGAUUGGACUGCGGCCGAUCAGGCUGUUGGUGAGGUAAUGGCCCACCAAACCUAAAACCGGUACGGGCUCUGAGAGGAGAAGCCCGGAGAUGGGCACUGAGACAAGGGCCCAGGCCCUAUGGGGCGCAGCAGGCGCGAAACCUCUGCAAUAAGCGAAAGCUUGACAGGGUUAUUCUGAGUGAUUUCCGCUAAGAAGUCUUUUGGCACCUCUAAAAUGGUGCAGAAUAAGGGUGGGCAAGCCUGGUGUCAGCCGCCGCGGUAUACCAGCACCCCGAGUGGUCGGGACGANNNGGGCCUAAANCAUCCNUAGCNNNNCUACAANUCUUCCGUUAAAUCCANCUGCUUAACAGUUGGGNUGCNGA
rnacentral:rRNA from 1 species